rnacentral:piRNA from 1 species
UCUUGAGAAUUGCCGUUUAACAAUAGGU